AACGAGCUGAGCCACCCCGUCCUUGCCCCGCCGCACGACAGGAAGAGGAGGAGUACAAGUCUAAAAGUAUUAGGCAGUGGCGCUACCUGGAGCAGAAGCACUUCCAUAAGGAGCACGGCACUGUUUCGCUACAGUGGCUGGUCAGUGCACGACAUUAGACGACGGUGAAGGGAUGCAAAAAGCAUGAAGAGUAGAGCGUAUCCAGGACUGGAGGCAUCUCAAAGUAGGAGAUACGCCAGUGCAGGGAGACAUCAUAAUUUGUGGGGAAGAUGAAGAUGAGGAAGAGUGCGCUGAGGUGGUCAUGGCAGGCUUUUGCAGACGUGCGCUAAAUUCUUCUCCGUCAGACUUCACGCUGCUGACUUCUCUAGAGUUAAGUCUCACACACACACUUACACACGCCAAAAGGAUGAGGGACAGAAAGCGCUGAGCAUGAGAGAGCGAGUAAGAAAGAAAAGUGCCACCGAACAAAAAAACAGGUCUAUAGAAGCACACGGAGAGACUGAGAGAGAGACAAAGGAAGGAAGACAAAAGGAAAAGUUAAAGCCAGGAGCUGUAAAGAAGAAGUGAGAGAUAGAGCACAUAAGAACCGGUGUGAUGAGGGAGAGCGAGUGUGUAUGUGUGUGUUUGUAUAUGUGUGUGUUGGAGGGAAGGCGGGCGGUGGGAGGUUGGAGGAAAAGAGCCCAGCCAAAACUGCAUCCUCAACACAUUUGUGGGAGCUUAGAGGCCGGGGAGGAGGAUUGGGGUCGCGCCGAGGGGAGAAAAGCCCUGAACUCAGCAACCAGCGCAACUAAAACCGCCAAUUAGAAAAAGUUCCUCCGCUGAUCCUCUGCUACAAAACUGCAAGGCCAUCAACACACCACUCGGCUAUUGCUGAGGCAACCAAACGAGCCCUAGCAAGGGCCAGGAAGGGGAUUCAACAAAAGAGGGACAACAGAACAGAUGGACGAGGAGAGUUUGGCGUUAAAGGGGGAAAAAAAGAGGCACACGAUAGCUUGGGAUAAUGUGUGUAAUUAAUUUAACCCGAGUUCAAACUCCGGAGUAAGAAGUCUACGGUAGUGGUGGUUUCCACCAGCACUCCCUUUUUAUGCUCUACACCAUGAUCAGCUCCAUAAAGGGCUAGUCUGGCAUAAAAAAAAAAAAAUUGAGUCUGGUGUCAGGUGUCCGAAACAUGCUGUGUUCCAGUCAGAUGUCCCAAACGACUCCGCUACUAUACAUUGGGUCAGUCAGCAAAGAUUCUUCUUUUAUGCUGAAAAAUCCAGGCUGAAUUAUUAUUAGUAUUUUUUAAUCCUGACCUGUCCAGAAGAGAAAGAAAGAAAGAGAAAAAAAGCUUUGUGCUCUGGUUGGGGGAAAUAGCCUGCCCUAUAUCUCUCUGUCCAUCACGGUGACAUCAGACAGUUGUGGGAUUCUGGGAGCUGGGCUUGCCUCUUUGUGUCUCACCCCGCAAUAUGACACUGCAUAAGCAACUUAAAAAGUGGGCUUAACUGUCCUGUUCAUAUCUCUAUGUGACAAGCCAAGUUUAGCUACACCACAGUCCAAUGAUUAGACGUCGCCACUGAGACUUGACCUGAUUUGCAUCAAUCAUAUCCUCGAUAGUUGCUUUCAUUUCAUUUACGCUGCUUAGUCAUCCAAUCGCCAGGCUUCUUGUAAGAACCCCUGACCAAUAUAAUGCAGGAGGCAGGAUUUGCUGGAAUAUGAAUUAGGAGGAAUAAGGCAGAGCAAAUGUGUGUGCAAACAUUCUAUUCCGAGGUCACUGAUGGAUUUGUGAUUUUAGGUAAAUACCAGUACAUAGUGUAUUAAUGGACUGGGGGUGGUUUUUUAGUGGCAAGGAAAUGUACAGUACAAGGAUUACUGCAAUAAAGUGACCGCUCUCAGUGAGAAUAUUGGGCUUUACUCCUGGGUGGGCAAGAUGACUUCUCUACACCCGCAUUUGCUCAUUAUGGCACUAGCUAUUCACCUGUUAGCUCAUGUAGACCCAACAGUGUGAGGUAGUUUGUGGACUUUUUCAUACAGAAUUGGUGAUGUUGAGAUUUACACUAAUUAAACAAUAAGUUAAUGACCCACAAGUUAAUGCCUGGAGAGAGGCGGUAUGAGCAGCAGUUAUAAGAAAAAGGCUUCAUAUAUCUUUGAAGAGAAAUGCAUAAACGUUUACAACUUCCACAGGUGAAAAAUACAUAUAUACAUUUAUAUGAUAAAUAGAUAUUUGUAUUUGAGUAAAAAAAAAUUGACUGCGGUGUAGCUAAAUGGUUAGCACAGUUGACUCACAUCUCAGGGUUGGGGUCUUCAAAUGUCGCCUGCUGUCUGUGUGUGUGUGUGUGUGGAGACUGUAUGCUCUUUUCUGUGCUUGAUGGUUUUCCUCCCACAUUCCAAAGACAAGCAGUGUAGGCUGACUGGUGUGCCCGGUGAUGGGUUGUCAGCCCAUAGAUAAAUGUACCCCGCCUCGUGCCCCAAUUGCCUGGGAUAGACUUCAGGCUGUGACCGUACCCGCAUAAAUGGAAAAGCCGAUGGAUAGAUGUAUAAUAUAUAAUAUUACCAGUGCCACAUCACCUCCCUAGAAUUUAGGCAAAAGGAACACAAAAGCUCUAAGGGAUACUUUAAUUCUUUGGAUGUGUGCAUAUAUGUGUGUGUGUGUGGGUUUGUUCCUUCAAACGGGCCAUGUUUAGCCUUAUUAAUCCUGUCUGAUGCUCUCCUAUGAAGUGCAGAUGUCUUUGUCAAGUUCCUCAUAAGCAUAGCGCUAUAAUACACCAGUUUCUCACACACACACACACACACACACACACACACACACACACACACAGUAAAGGGAUUUGGCUCGCUGGAGAGUCACAGCCGUAUCAUUUCCAUUAUAACGAAUGAAUCAGAGGGAUGAAUUGUAAGGACUGACAGGUUGUAAUAAACAAUCAUAAAACUCAGGUGCUUGUUUAUCCUUCGAAUACAGCUCAACUCUGAUCUUCAGACAAAAGCACAUCUGCGAACCUCCAUUUUUAAGAAGAGAGAGGACUGACAGAAGCGUUUUCAUUUUUCAGGGGUCGUCCCUCUCACCCAGGUUUCUAAAAGCAGUCAGGAUAUCGAUUGGAGACAGACUCUCUGCUCGAACGAGAAGUGAAUAAUUGAAGAAGAACGAGCGAGACAGAAAGACAGAAAAAGAGAAUACGAGACUAGCUGGUGGAUGACACGGAACACAGAAGUAUAAAGAAAGCGUAGCAAAAGAAAAAGAAAAAAAAAGAUAGUAAAACAAGACAAGUGAUAUUAGGGGUAGAAAACUGUGCAGGAUUUAAGGUUGGGUGGAGAAGAAAAGCCUUUCUAUCUACACACUUCCUCAUCUCAGGUAUAAGUGUGUGAUGGGAAAAUUUCCUAACACAAGCAGAAAAAAGUGCCAAGUCAGGACGCGGGUGUGUGCAUUUUUUUUUAUUUAGUAAGGGCUUUUUCCAGUAGUGAAGCUCGUAGGUUAAUUUGCCCGCCCCACCCUCCCCAACCUCUCUUUAUAGGCAGACUGAGAUAAAGUUAACUAAAUCUUAUUUUUCCUCUGAUCCUUCAGGUCAGCACAAAAAACAGCAACGGACGAAAGAAAUAAACAAGUCUGAAGAUGGAUUUUGUGUGUGCGUGUGUGUGUGAAAGAUAGAGUUAAACUCAGUUUCUCAGAUUUGUCACACACCAAAUACAAGAGGUGGACUGAUAAUUAAGGAAUUAAACACUUGGGGGCAUAUGGUUACGGACAACAAUCAAAGACAGAGCGGUACGAUGCAGACAGGUGCAAAACAUUCGACAUUCUAACUAACCUGAUUUGGAUUAUUUUCCACCAACAAAUCUAGACAGAACGCUGAUUUAAUAGCUUCUUAAAGAUGUCCUCUUUAUAUACACGAUAAAAAGAAAUUAUUGAGAUUAAUUAAGAAAAAUGGUUGUAUACCCCAAUAAUACCAAUAAAAUUCAUGCGUAUUAAAACCACGUAGGUUUUGGGUUCUUCUUAUGCUACUGAGGUGUCUCUGGCCCCUUUGGGGUGUGGCUUCUCAGGGACUCUGGGGGUGGUCUGUGGUGUCUGGCACCAGGACGUUGGCAGCAGAUAUUUCUGGUGCUGUGGGUUGUACUUGUUAGUCUGAUGUUUCCCAUGACAGCUCGAUCAGACUGGGAUCUGGGAAAUUUAAAGACCAGGUUCGGGGCUUUUGCUGCUCUGAGGCCU